GUGUAUAGUAGUGUAAUGUAUAGUAGUGUAGUGUAUAGUGUAGGUUAUAGUGUAGUAUACUAGUACAGCACUAAUGUGUAGUGUAUAGUGUGUAGUGUAUGGUAGUGUAGUGUACAGUGUAGUGGACUAGUACAGCGCGCCGGUACGUGCGAGAGCGAAGCCACAACAUUUACAAACCGAGUAACGUGACGUUUCGCCAGUGAUUGCAACCGGCUUCAUCAGGUGACAGCCAGAUCUUAUACGGAGGCGUAGAUGUGUUGACCACCCUUCUGCGCUCUUGACCGUGACGAUGACGAUGAGAGAGACACGCAAACGCCACCGGGCUGUGUUGUUGAUGGGAACCCCGUGGCUUCUUAAUACGUUGGUUGGAUGGGCACUUGUAAAGUCUUAAGACUCGCGAUGCCGGGCACGGAUUUGUGUUUAACCGCGGUGUUUAAUUUGCGGUACUUUGGGGUGCUUGAUGGCCAAACCCACCUCGCGUCGUUUUUUUGUUGUUGUAUCGCUGAAUAAAAUGCGUCGAAUCAAAAUUGG